rnacentral:rRNA from 1 species
GAAGAAGCACCGGCUAACUCCGUGCCAGCAGCCGCGGUAAUACGGAGGGUGCCAAGCGUUAUUGGAAUUAUUGGCGUAAAGCCACCGCAGGCGUUCUGUAAGUCAAAUGAAAUCCCCGGGGCUUAACCUGUGAACUGCACUUGAAACUGGCAGGCUUGAGUCUCGUAGAGGGGGGUAGAAUUCCAGGUGUAGCGGUGAAAAUGCGUAGAGAUUUGGAGAAUACCGGUGGCGAAGGCGGCCCCCUGGACGAAGACUGACGCUCAGGUGCGAAAGCGUGGGAGCAAACAGGAUUAGAUACCCUGGUAGUCCACGCCGUAAACGAUGUCGACUUGGAGGUUGUUCCCUUGAGGAGUGGCUUCCGGAGCUAACGCGUUAAGUCGACCGCCUGGGGAGUACGGCCGCAAGGUUAAAACUCAAAUGAAUUGACGGGGGCCCGCACAAGCGGUGGAGCAUGUGGUUUAAUUCGAUGCAACGCGAAGAACCUUACCUACUCUUGACAUCCAGAGAACUUAGCAGAGAUGCUUUGGUGCCUUCGGGAACUCUGAGACAGGUGCUGCAUGGCUGUCGUCAGCUCGUGUUGUGAAAUGUUGGGUUAAGUCCCGCAACGAGCGCAACCCUUAUCCUUUGUUGCCAGCGAUUCGGUCGGGAACUCAAAGGAGACUGCCGGUGAUAAACCGGAGGAAGGUGGGGAUGACGUCAAGUCAUCAUGGCCCUUACGAGUAGGGCUACACACGUGCUACAAUGGCGCAUACAAAGAGAAGCGACCUCGCGAGAGCAAGCGGACCUCACAAAGUGCGUCGUAGUCCGGAUCGGAGUCUGCAACUCGACUCCGUGAAGUCGGAAUCGCUAGUAAUCGUGGAUCAGAAUGCCACGGUGAAUACGUUCCCGGGCCUUGUACACACCGCCC